rnacentral:rRNA from 1 species
AUUGAACGCUGGCGGCAUGCCUAACACAUGCAAGUCGUGCGGCAGCGCGGGGGCGACCCUGGCGGCGAGCGGCGGACGGGUGAGUAACGCGUAGGAAUCUGCCCACGGGUGGGGGACAACCCGGCGAAAGCCGGGCUAAUACCGCAUAAGCCCUGAGGGGGAAAGCGGGGGACCUUCGGGCCUCGCGCCGGUGGAUGAGCCUGCGUGGGAUUAGCUAGUUGGCGGGGUAAGGGCCCACCAAGGCGACGAUCCCUAGCCGGCCUGAGAGGGUGGCCGGCCACACCGGGACUGAGACACGGCCCGGACUCCUACGGGAGGCAGCAGUGGGGAAUAUUGGGCAAUGGGCGCAAGCCUGACCCAGCAAUGCCGCGUGUGUGAAGAAGGCCUGCGGGUUGUAAAGCACUUUGGGCGGGGAGGAAGGGGCCGGGGUUAACACCCCCGGCCAUUGACGCUACCCGCGGAACAAGCACCGGCUAACUCCGUG